ACGUAGGGUGCAAGCGUUAAUCGGAAUUACUGGGCGUAAAGCGUGCGCAGGCGGCUAUGUAAGACAGAUGUGAAAUCCCUGGGCUCAACCUAGGAAUUGCAUUUGUGACUGUAUAGCUAGAGUGUGUCAGAGGGAGAUAGAAUUCCACGUGUAGCAGUGAAAUGCGUAGAGAUGUGGAGGAAUACCGAUGGCGAAGGCAGUCUCCUGGGAUAACACUGACGCUCAUGCACGAAAGCGUGGGGAGCAAACAGG
rnacentral:rRNA from 1 species